AGAGAGAAUUCUGGGAACCCAAACAUAUUCUGCUGCUUCAAGACAUGAGGAACACAGUUCCCACGGGCCUCUCCUUAACUCAGGAAGUAUGAUCAAUGUAGCAAAAAGCUGAAGUGUCUCCUUACAUCUUUUGUACAUUCAUAAAUUUUGGAUACAGCUCUUUGUCAAGGUUUAUGAAUUGCACAUUAAGAAUAUAUUUUGUUCUAAGAGCAUUGGAACAAAAUCAUAGAAAAUGAACUAGGGGAAGGACUGAAGGAUCUGAAGGGGGUAGCUACCCCUUAGGAAGACUGGCAAUAUCAACUAGACCACCCAGAGCUCCAAGGGGUUUUAGUAAUCAUAAAACCAUUCCAAAUGCUGGCCAAGUGCAGCUAAUUUCGGUGGUGGAAUUUCUGAGAAUGACAGCCAUUGUCUAAGCAUUCAUCAAAGCAUGUUACAGGGAACCUGGAUUCAAUUCCUAGCACCCACAUGGAGGUUCAUGAACACCUAUAACUCCAGUUCCAAGAGAUCCAAUAUUCUUUUCUGGCCUCUGAAACAUUCACACAAGAUCAAAUGCCCUGUACAGCAUGAAUGCAGACCUUAAGAGGAAGUGGGAUCAGAAACAAUGAAGAGUUCAAUAUCAAAGGUCACAAGAGGUUCUGGGAAAUGGAAUUCCAGGAUUAUCAGUGUGUGGUGUUUCAGAACAGUCACAUACGUCUACAACUUGCUGUGCAAUCUCAGCUUUUUAAAUGACAUUGACAUUGUUUUCUGAUUCAGAAUUCCAGACAAUCUCAGGGAAGACAUUAAAAAAUGUACCAAUAAAAGACUGGGGCAAGAAAAAGGAGAGAGAGCAUGUGAGUGAGAGGACAUAUAGAGAUCAUGAGAAGAGCAUGUGAAGAGUGAGUGAGGAGACAAUGUGAAGAGUGAGUGAAGAGAGAAUAUUAGGUAUGUAUGGAGAAUGUGUGUGUGAGUGAAAGGAGAGUACAUGUGGUGUGUGUGAGAUGUGUGUGAAGAGAGUAUUGAGGUUUCGGGAGAGAAGCAUCACGCCUGGUGCAGUGCAUCUUUUUUAUGGCUCAAUCCCUGUUUAACCCAGGGUUUCAAAAGUUGCUUCUUUAUCAUGGACAUAACGUAUUCUUAGUACAAAAACAAUAAAUAACUCACUAGGUGUGGUUCCAUGCUAUCAGCGUCCUUUAGCAGCAGGAAGAGUAAGGAGUUGACUGAAGCCAAAAGGAUGAGAGAACAAGACUGAGACCACAAAGAAAUGAGAGAGAGGGAAAAAAAGGAAGAAAUGAAGGAAUGCAUACCAAAUAGGAUGGGUGGGUAAAACUA
rnacentral:lncRNA from 1 species